rnacentral:rRNA from 1 species
GAUGAACGCUGGCGGUAUGCUUAACACAUGCAAGUCGAACGGACUCUUCGGAGUUAGUGGCGGACGGGUGAGUAACGCGUGAGAAUCUGGCUUUGGGUUCGGGACAACCACUGGAAACGGUGGCUAAUACCGGAUGUGCCGAGAGGUAAAAGAGAAAUUGCCUGAAGAUGAGCUCGCGUCUGAUUAGCUAGUUGGUGAGGUAAAGGCUCACCAAGGCAGCGAUCAGUAGCUGGUCUGAGAGGAUGACCAGCCACACUGGGACUGAGACACGGCCCAGACUCCUACGGGAGGCAGCAGUGGGGAAUUGUCCGCAAUGGGCGAAAGCCUGACGGAGCAAUAUCGCGUGAGGGAAGAAGGCUCUUGGGGUGUAAACCUCUUUUCUUAGGGAAGAACAAAAUGACGGUACCUAAGGAAUCAGCAUCGGCUAACUCCGUG